rnacentral:lncRNA from 1 species
UAUCAUUAUACAUGAAAAAUCAAUUUCUCCUAGCUACGCGUGAAAAUCCAUACUGUUGGCAGACGAAUUUCCAAUUCCAUACCAUGGUCUCUACAAUUAUUCUACCAGAUAAAUUUUGUUCUCAAAGGUCCAGCAGUUCCUUUCUGACUAAGUCCGGCAAUUAUGUUCACAACAAAUUUCUGAAUUGUUUUUAUUAGAAUGGGUAUAUUAUUAGGGUUUACUACAGGCACUGAUAUACGAUCUCAAGUCUAGCAUCACCAAGAUACUUUUCACAAACUGAGGUAUUGUGACCGACUUAUUUUAAUAAUGUAAUUGGAUCACUAGCUAUUUGAAAGUAGACCUUGGGUAGUUCAAUCAGCACAGAGUGCAGACAUUACAUCUAUAUUAUUUCAUUUCCUGUUCUAAUUUGUAUAUUGUUUUAUCUGUAUGGAAUCAUUUGGCAAUACGUAGAUCUAUAUAAAUGUGCUAAAAUUUGCGCUUAUAUACUUAUAAUUCCUAUUUUUUCCUUCCUUUCAGGUGUUGAUUUUGAUGAGAAACCUCACAAUCAAUUUGGCAAGCCCUCAUUUUUAACCAAUUGUAAGUAUCGAUUUUAUCAUGAGAAACCUCAAAUCAUGUUGUACACAUGAUAUUUUAAUUCAAAAAAAUUCUUAAGCAUGUAGUUUUGGAGGUCUACAAGUCCCGGAAAGGCCUUUGUUGGUAUCUUGCGAGUUUAUAUAUCAAUACAUUCUUUAGGCACUUAGUAUCACUUCUGAGGGAUGAAAAUUACACAAUUUUCUACCUGAGUCCUAUGAGCUUGAGCUCGAAUUACGCAAAUCAUUUGUAGGAAAAGCAAAGAGUCUUGAAAUAGUUUGCAACACUCGAGGUGAUAAAAAAAGACUGUACAAGGUUAGACCAAAGAGGACAAUUAUCACCUUGAAUGUGAUCAAACAGUCGCCUAGAAGUCUCGAGGAAAGUAGACAUGUUUGAUGGUUAACCAAAGGGGCCAUCGUGCAUCAACAUACUCAAGAUACUGACAAAUAUAGUGAUUAGACAAAUACUUUCAUAUUUUAAUAUUCAUCAAAGAAUUUGGGACACAUUUUUUAGGUUGGUAGAUUAUUUUUUAGAAUGAGAUUUUUGACUCCUGUCUGAAUCUGUGGGGAGUCUGGACCUAUAUGAUGCCUCAAGCCUAUAUCUAAUCAUGUCCAAUGAGUCUGAAGCCUUUAUCAAAAUUUGAUGAAGUUUUUAAGUGGUUGGUAACUUGAUAAAACUUCAUUUUGGAACAGGGAAAGGUUCAACCAUCCUACAGUCUUAAUGGCAGAAUGGGAGAUAUGGCAGGAGUUAUUGCAAAGAAUCACGACAGUUAUUAUCUACAAAGUAUAUUGGCUGGAAACAAAUUUGUACUGUGACAUCUUUCCGUUUACAUUCAUUAUAUGACUAGUCGACUACACCAAGCAAUGCUUUUAUGUGAAAAUACUAAUCCCAGUUUCAGAGUGACAAAAUGGCGAGGUCUUAAUAUAUAGAUUCAUCAUACUUGGCACUUAGCAUUCUCAAACCCAGGCUUGCAAGUCUAGAUUGUAUGUAUAGGGGGUGGGGGUGGGGGGUGGGGGGGAUGUUAGGGUUUAGGGUUGGGGGUUAUCCCACAUGUAACAACUGUUUGGUAUUUGGACAUGGCGAUGAAUACCUGUAAUGAUACAUGAUUCUUCGAAAUCUUCUGUACUUCUUUUCUGAAGGCAAAAUUGAUCAGAUCCUAAGGUUCUUGUAAUGGGUAUUUACUGUUUUGAAGGCUUAAGAUAUUGUGGAGAUGGAAUGGCAGCGAAUUGUUGAACCAUGAAAU